AAGUCGUAACAAGGUUUCCGUAGGUGAACCUGCGGAAGGAUCAUUAUUGAUUUUUAAAGCAAACCGAGCUUUUUUUUAAAAGUAAGGUUUUGCGAGUAUAUUUAAAACCCCACUCUUAAAAAUAAUUUUUCAUUCAUUAUUUAUGAAUAAAAAAAAAGAUCACUUUCAACAACGGAUCUCUUGGCUCUC
rnacentral:misc_RNA from 1 species